rnacentral:lncRNA from 1 species
CCUUAAGCAUGAUUCCACUGUAAUUAAGGAAAGAAACAUUUUUAAAGUGUGUUGUGAAAAGGUGUCAUUCUUGUGGAAAACUCCAAAAAACAAAGGUACUGCAAUCUCUAAGGUUCCACGGCUAGAAUGAGCCAUGUGGCCAGAACUUCAUCCUGCUCCAUGGUGUUACAUCUUUACAUUGCCUUGAGUGGAUCAGAUUUUGGAAUCAGAAUUCAGGAACUACAUGCAGCAAAGGAUUUCACUCUUCACAGAUUUUAGACUGAAGCUUCUAACUUUUAGGUGCCUGGCCACUGUUUGAGUCAAGGCUUUAGAGAGAUGCUGCCAUCCUUUGGGAUCCAGGGAACAGAAGCCUCUCCUAAUGCAGGAAAUCUGGAUGCUCACAGUGCUUUGACAGUCUCCAAGAGGUUUCAAAAUCAGCAACCAGAAACGCAUGGCACAGCUCAAAGUGCACCUACUUUGCAGUACAGAAAGGAAAUCAAACUUUGAAAAGCUUAAGGAAAUAUGAAGGAUCUGAAAUCAAACCAAGCUGAGACAGCAAAGUCACACUUGUGGCUAUAAUUCCUGGAUGUUUUUU